AUUUUUUUCUUAUGUAACUAAAUAAUUAAACUAUCUUUUGGAGUAAUUACUGGUUUUCCCUGAUCUUAUAUUUUUCAAACCUUAGACGCGAUCGUGUACAGGAUUUACAUCAUUCAGUUAUUAUUGAAAACUGAUUUAAUUUCCCGGUACUCUACAAAGGAUAUCAAUUAGAACGCCACCUUUAGUACAACAAGUAAAUAACAACAUACAUACACAUGUGUGUUGUUGGUGUUGACGUGUGUACUGGUGCUUACGCUCCGAUUUGUUAAACCUAUUUAAUGUUCCAUGUACGAUGUUGAUUUAUGAAUUAUGAAGCACAGCGGACGAAAUAGUUGUUCAAAAUCACUCCAUAUUGAAUUACAGGGCUUAGAAGUGCUCAAACAAGCUGACUAUUCCAACUCCAAAGAAUUAAAUAAUAUUACUCAGGCCACCACGAAAACAGAAUUUAUUGAUUUCAAGUUGGUGAUAUUAUUGCUAAACAAGCCGCUUAUGCAGUUUAAUGGUACAAUGUCUACCUUCAGCAUAAUGUUAUGUAAUUAUUUGACACUAAUAAUUUAUAAAUUACCAUCAAUAAUGUGGAGAAAUAUGGAUCGAAUAAGACAACUAUGGGAAUGGAGCAAUCAUAAUUAUUAGCAGAAGAAAAGAUCGAAAAAAUUAAAGCGUAAGAGCUAAAAUGCCCACGUAUUUAAAUGACUAGGAACGCCAAAGGAAAUCUUCAUUCUACUAAAAUUUACACUGCAGUAAUGGCGACUGGUUGCUAAUUUAUUUUGAUACACUGUUCGGAUUUGUAUAUCUUGUUUCCAGACGUGACUUUUUAUUUAGAUAAUUAGCUGGUCAUAAAAAUACGUAUAAAAAUAUUAUUUUGAAGCUUUGAUUCUUCGUAACUUUACUUUUGAGUAGAGUGGUUCUCGCAAGCUGAUAAACAUGGAAUAUUUAAAAUUAUUUCAAAUUAAAGAUAUGGCUGUUAAUUUUAAUUUAUACGAAAGUAUAAAAUAGUUUUUUAUCUUUUUGUUAUUAUUUGUACUUGUAAUUUCUUUUUUUGUAUUUAGGUACAUUUCUAAUAAUACAACGUUUAUUUAUGUUAUAACUACAAUUUGUAACUUAGAUGUUUUUGUUUGAUAAUAGAUAAAAUUUACUAAAAAGUGACUUAAACUUUUAAAAACGUCCGACAAUUUAUUAAGUAAAGUCAUAUAUAAAAUCUAACUUUAUUUUUCAUUAUAAAUUCAAACAAUAAAAUUAUUUUUCAACUUAUAAAUAAUAAUUCUUGCAUUCAAUGUCCAUAUAUUGCAAUAAAUAUACAGACUCACUUGAGAGUAAUUCAUCACUUGUCUAUAAAGAAGAAAAUUUUACAAUGUUAUAAGUAAAAAUAAACCAAUAAUUAUCGUUGUAAUUUAUAAAAAAAAUGAAUGCCAGUAUGAAUAAUUAAUUAAAACUAAUAGAUAAUUGUUAAUAAAUUGUUGACAAUUAUUUCUGUGAGCAAUUUUUAGUGAUUUAUUGGUAGUGGUUUUUACAUAUGGAUAUAUGAAUAUAUUGAUUACAUUCAUUUUUUUUUUUUUUAAUUUUAUGAUCUGAUUAUUUGUAAGCAGCACUAUAAACAAAUGACGAUACGUGUAAGGUUAUAAUCUUGUGUGAAUAAAAAAAACAAAACAUUUCUGUUUUAUUGUUAAUAUAUUAUUUAAAAAAUUAUAAUUUUCAAAAAAAUUUAUAAUAAUUCGAUAAAUUGGAAGGGGUAUGAAUUAGAUAAAAAAUUAAAGUGCUUUUCAUUUUCAAAAAAGACAUGCCUCUCAAGUCGCAAGUGUCUGUUGAAGAUGCUGUUAAUGUGUUAAUACGACACAUUAGUUAUUUUGCAUCAGAAAAAUUACCGGAAUGGUCUUCAGAUAUAUGGCAGGUUUUAGCCAAAGAAAAAGAAUUUAAAGAUAAAUGGAACGCAAAUUGCGUACGAACAAAUGUUAGAAAUGAUAGACGAGGAAUUUUGACCAAAGCACGCCAGGAAUGUGGACUCUUCAUUUCAAAUCAGAAUACAAAUGUUGACAAUAACAAUGGUGACGACUGUGAUGAUGACGAAAAUAGUUUAAGUGACGAAGAUCUACAGAUUCGCUAGAAUCUGGCGCCAAGUUCCGUUCAAAAAUCCCGUUGCAAACGGAGCGCCAGACUACCGAAUCUACAGAUUCGGU